CCCGGGUACCAAGAUUUAUGUUGGGGAGGAGACCAUUUGGCAAGAAUUCAUUUAUGAGGAUUUAUCAGAGACAUGUUACUCUUGUGGUCGGUUGUUGAUUGAUGAGGCUAUGUGUGGAUGUUUGGAAGGUGGAAACACUCAGGUUAAACCUGGCUAUGGCCCCUGGAUCAGGGCUUCUAGGGUGCUGGAGCAAACAAGCUGUCAAGGGGAUUCAGCA
rnacentral:lncRNA from 1 species